AAAAAGGGUCGGUUGGCUAAAUAUGCCACUCCUGCCCUUCGAAGUUGGGUGCUGUAUGGCUAUCAAGACAUAUGGCCGACACAAUUUCUGGGCUGAUGAAGCUGCCUAUCCCAUUUUGUAAUCUAUUA
rfam:Amborella trichopoda AMTR_V1.0_contig_5778, whole genome shotgun sequence.